UGCCAGCCGCCGCGGUAAUACGGAGGGGGCUAGCGUUGUUCGGAAUUACUGGGCGUAAAGCGUGCGUAGGCGGAUUAAUAAGUUAGAUGUGAAAUCCCAGGGCUCAACCCUGGAACUGCAUUUAAAACUGUUAGUCUUGAGUUCUGGAGAGGUAAGUGGAAUUCCUAGUGUAGAGGUGAAAUUCGUAGAUAUUAGGAGGAACACCAGAGGCGAAGGCGGCUUACUGGACAGAUACUGACGCUGAGGCACGAAAGUGUGGGGAGCAAACAGGAUUAGAUA
rnacentral:rRNA from 1 species